rnacentral:lncRNA from 1 species
CUGAAAAAUAGCUGAGUUAAUUUUUUAAGUAUUUUUAAGAUACUGCCUGGCACAGAACAUAAGCUAUAUAAAUAUUUAAAAGUGUAUUAAUCUAAAUUUCAGGAAAUGAAACACAUUUGCCCUGACAAAACAUUCAUGAAACAAUUUCCAAACAUCUGUUUCCUCCUGUGUUUUCUAAUCACUGCCUCUUCACAUUAUUGGAGCCACAGCUUGAGGAAAGUUAGGAACUUCGUCUGUUUAAAGCCCAA